rnacentral:rRNA from 1 species
GGUGAACGCUGGCGGCGUGCUUAAGACAUGCAAGUCGAACGGCAGUCGUCGGACUGUAGUGGCGCACGGGUGAGUAACGCGUAACUGACCUACCCCAAAGUCGCGGAUAACGAUUCGAAAGAAUCGCUAAUACGUGAUGUGCUGUCAGAUUGUGUUCUGCCAGUAAAGAUUGAUUGCUUUGGGAUGGGGUUGCGUUCCAUCAGCUAGUUGGUGGGGUAAAGGCCCACCAAGGCGACGACGGAUAGCCGGCCUGAGAGGGUGGCCGGCCACAGGGGCACUGAGACACGGGUACCACUCCUACGGGAGUCAGCAGUUAGGAAUCUUGCACAAUGGGCGAAAGCCUGAUGGAGCGACGCCGCGUGAGGGAUGAAGGUCUUCGGAUCGUACACCUCUGAAUCAGGGACGAAAGACACUUCGGUGGGAUGACGGUACCUGAGUAAUAGCACCGGCUAACUCCGUGCCAGCCGCCGCGGUAAAAC